rnacentral:rRNA from 1 species
CCUACGGGAGGCUGCAGUGGGGAAUAUUGCACAAUGGGGGAAACCCUGAUGCAGCGACGCCGCGUGAGUGAAGAAGUAUUUCGGUAUGUAAAGCUCUAUCAACCGGGAAGAAAAUGACGGUACCUGAUUAAGAAGCCCCGGCUAACUACGUGCCAGCCGCCGCGGUAAUACGUAGGGGGCAAGCGUUAUCCGGAUUUACUGGGUGUAAAGGGAGCGUAGACGGCAGCACAAGUCUGGAGUGAAAUGCCGGGGCUUAAACCCGGAACUGCUUUGGAAACUGUGCAGCUAGAGUGCAGGAGAGGUAAGUGGAAUUCCUAGUGUAGCGGUGAAAUGCGUAGAUAUUAGGAGGAACACCAGUGGCGAAGGCGGCUUACUGGACAUUAACUGACGCUGAGGCACGAAGGCCAGGGGAGCGAAAGGGAUUAGAUACCCCAGUAGUC